rnacentral:lncRNA from 1 species
AAAGUAAAAUAAAAUAAAAUAGUAAUGUUAGAUUUUCAUACAUAUCAAACAAUAAUUAUCGAUCUUAUUUAUAGAUCGUAGAACAUUCCUUUACAAGACUUACAACUUUAAAAUAGUGUCACAAGCAUUCGAAAAUUCAAUAACAUAACCAAAUUUGGGGUGGAAAGGUGCUAAGAGCACCUGCUCUAAUUUCAACAGGGCAAGCAGGUUUGUCUGCUUUCCGCACCUCGGCCGCCCUAUAGCUAUGAUUGGCCACUGGGUAGCCUGUUACGGCCUCGACUGCCCCAGUUGUCCUCUGCCACAUAGAGCCUUCCUUGCGUGGUUAUUUGACUCGUGCAAACUCUUCAAUGCAAAAAGGCGACAUUAAUUAGAAAAUCUUCCGAGAUGUGAGCUAAGUGCCAUGGUCACCAAAUUCAAUAGUCAAUCCUCAUCGAUAUAUAUAUAUAUAUAUAUAUAUAUAAUUGAGUCGGGUGCAAAAUGACUAUUUAAUCCCCUAAGGAUAUCUU